ACGAGCGGGGAGACCGCGGGCGUUAGUGCCGCGCCGAGCGGAGGGGCGCUGCGGGCGUGCCGGGCGUGGUUGCGGCGUGCGGGAGCUGGGGCCGGCGGCCUCUUCGGAAAUAUGGCACUCCCCACGCUGCCCUCCUACUGGUGCACCCGGAGGCUCCUGGAUCAGCAGAUGGCACGACAGCGACAGCGAGAGCAGGAGGCCCGGCUUCGGCAGCAGUGGGACCAGAACAGCCGCUACUUCAGGAUGUCUGACCUCUGCAGCUCCAAACAGGCAGAAUGGAGCUCCAAGACCUCCUACCAGCGGAGCAUGCACGCCUAUCAGCGUGAGAAGAUGAAGGAGGAGAAGAGGAAGCGUCUGGAGGCCAGGCGGGAGAGGCUCAGGCAGCUUCUGCUGGAGGAGCAGGACUUGCUGGCCAGAGAACUGGAGGAGCUGAGGCUGAGCAUGAACUCUCGGGAGAGAAGGAUCCGGGAGCAGCACGGGAAUCUGAAGUCGGCCCGAGAAGAGCAAAGGAAAUUGAUUGCCGAACAACUUUUGUAUGAACACUGGAAAAAGAACGACCCCAAACUUCGAGAGAUUGAAUCGGACCUUCACAAGAAGCAUGUGAUAAACUCUUGGGAAACGCAGAAAGAAGAAAAAAAACAGCAAGAAGCCACAGAAGGGGAAGAGAGGAAGCGGUAUGAAAAUGAAUAUGAAACGGCGCAAAGGGAGGCACUGGAACGGAUGAAAGCAGAAGAGGAGAGGAGGCAGCUGGAGGGCAAGCUGCAGGCUGAGGCGCUGCUCCGGCAGAUGGAGGAGCUGAAGGUGAAGGAGAUGGAGGCCACCAAACUGAAGAAGGAGCAGGAGAAUCUGUUGAAGCAGCGGUGGGAGCUGGAGAGGCUGGAGGCAGAGAGGAAGCAGAUGGCAGCGCUCCGGCAGAAGGCGGAGCUGGGACGCUUUUUGAGACAUCAGUAUAAUGUGCAGCUCAAUAGACGAACACAGCAGAUCCAAGAGGAGCUGGAGGCAGACAAGCGCAUCCUGCAGGCUCUGCUCGAGAAGGAGGAUGAGAACCAGCGUGCGCACUUGGCCCGGCGGGAGCAGGCCCUGGCUGACGUGGCGUGGAUGAAGCAGGUCAUCGAGGAGCAGCUGCAGCUGGAGAGGGAGCGGGAGGCAGAGCUGCAGAUGCUGUUGAGGGAGGAGGCCAAGGAGAUGUGGGAAAAGAGAGAGGCAGAGUGGGCCCGAGAGAGGAGCGCGCGGGACAGACUGAUGAGUGAGGUUCUGACAGGGAGACAACAACAAAUACAAGAAAAGAUUGAACAAAACCGACGGGCGCAAGAGGAAUCCCUAAGACACAGGGAGCACCUUAUUCGAAACCUUGAGGAGGCAAGAGAGUCAGCUCGCCGUGAGAAGGAGGAGAGUGAAGAACUGAAAUCGGCCAGGAGACAGGAGCUGGAAGCCCAGGUCGCAGAGCGCCAGCUGCAGGCGUGGGAAGCAGACCAGCAGGAGGAGGAGGAGGAAGAGGAGGCCAGGCAGGCAGAGCAGCUCACCGACGCCCUGCUGCAGCAGGAGGCGAAGACGAUGGCCCAGCAGGGCUACCGGCCCAAGCCUUACGGACAUCCCAGAAUUGCCUGGAACUGACUUCGCUGGUACUGUAAGCGCAGCAAGCAAGGAUGCCAAGACCUUUGAUAUGCAGCCGCGGUUUUAGUGUCCCAUUCUAGUGUUCAGGUCACUGUGGACUAGUUCAGCUAGCCUGUUCAGGUCCAUGACUAAACGGAGCCAGGGUGUGGCCAGACUUGGAGGAGUCGUGGAUGUGCAGCACCCAGCUGGAGGCCCUUUCCUGCCUUCUUACCCAAGAGAGGGGCUUUUCUAGUCACAUGCUGACGGUGCUGUCACACAGUCAUGUAAUAUAUUUAUAAAUAAUGUAAGAGUCUAAAUCAGUGCCAGAAGUUACAAGUUUUAUUCCAGAGAUACAGUUUCUUGUCAUCUUACCCUAAUCGUCAACCUCCAGUGAAGAUCCAGCUAGAGAUAAGAGGGAAGUUUUUCACUUUUUAAAAUUGCCAUUUAACUGUAACGGUUCUAUUGAAAAACUCGUAAGUCUUGGCGCAGUUUAUUUCAGGGUUUACUAAUCUCGUGGUCCCAAAAGGAUCACUCCUCGUUUUCUAGAAGAGAAGAACUAGAAGCCCUGAGGCAGUGUGAUGUGGCUCUGGACGCUUUCUGGAAAGGUGGUGAGAACACAUACCCUCUCUAGGGAGGAUGCAGUGCUGGGCCUGGGGAAGUUGCAGCGCUGAACAAGAACAGUGACAGCAAUCAAACCAGCACCCGGACGAGCAGACGUCACUGGCAGGCAUAGAGCCAGCUGUCACUCGUGGGACUGAAGCGACCAUUUGUGCAAUAAGUAUAAUUCACUACAUCCGUAUCUUUUUAUGGAUAUAAUGAAUAUUUUUUCACAAUCUGGGUUUGUAGGUAGUUUUCAGUGUUUAUAAAAUCAUUAUAAUGCUUUCAAAAGCACUAGCAUUAACAGUGCUUGCCGACCUUGAUGAAAUUUAGCCGUGAAGCCACGUGGAGUCUGAGAGAGUCUGAUAUUGUAAUAUCUUCAUUUUGGGGGGCAUUAACUUUAUGACUUAAUAUUAUGACACUCGCAAGUUCUAAAAUGUAAAAACAAUUACCUCAAAGGAUAUAAACGUGAUAUUUUAACUUAAUUUUUUUAGAGCAGUUUUAGGUUCACAGCAAAAUUGAGAGGAAGGUACAGAGAUUUCCCAUAUACCUCCUGCCCCCACACAUGCGUAGCCUCAUUUGUCACCACCAUCCCCACUAGAGUGGGACAUUCUUUAAAUUGAUAAACCUACAUCGACACAUCAUAAUCACCCAAAGUCCAUGGUGCACAUUAUGGUUCACUCUUGAUGUAUAUUCUGUGCAUUUGGACAAAUGGACAAUGACAUGCAUCCAUCAUUAUGGUAUCAUACAGCGUAUUUUCACUGCCCUAAAAAUCCUCUGUGCUCUGCCUAUUUGUUCUUCCCUCCAACCCCUAACAAUCACUGAUCUUUUUCAUUCUCCUUAUUUUCCUUUUCCAGAGUGUCACAUACCUGGAAUCAUACAGUAUGCAGCCUUUUCAGA